rnacentral:rRNA from 1 species
UACGUAGGUGGCAAGCGUUGUCCGGAUUUACUGGGCGUAAAGGGCGUGCAGGCGGUCUGUUAAGUUCAGGGUGAAAGCUCCCGGCUCAACUGGGAGAGGUCCUUGGAUACUGGCAGACUUGAGGGAGGUAGAGGAGAGUGGAAUUCCCGGUGUAGUGGUGAUAUGCGUAGAUAUCGGGAGGAACACCAGUGGCGAAGGCGGCGAUCUGGGAACAUACUGACGCUGAGGUGCGAAAGCGUGGGGAGCAAACAGGAUUAGA